GACGAACGCUGGCGGCGUGCUUAACACAUCCAAGUCGAGCGACGCUCUUCCUUCGGGGAGAUGACGGAGCGGCGAACGGGUGAGUAACACGUGGGCAACCUGCCCCUAGCUCUGGGACAACACCGGGAAACCGGUGCUAAUACCGGAUACGACAUCGAGCGGCAUCUCUCGAUGUGGAAAGUUUUUUCGGCUAGGGAUGGGCCCGCGGCCUAUCAGCUUGUUGGUGGGGUAAUGGCCCACCAAGGCGACGACGGGUAGCCGGCCUGAGAGGGCGACCGGCCACACUGGGACUGAGACACGGCCCAGACUCCUACGGGAGGCAGCAGUGGGGAAUAUUGCGCAAUGGGCGAAAGCCUGACGCAGCGACGCCGCGUGAGGGAUGACGGCCUUCGGGUUGUAAACCUCUUUCAGCAGGGACGAAUUCAGACGGUACCUGCAGAAGAAGCACCGGCCAACUACGUG
rnacentral:rRNA from 1 species